GGGAAAGCCACAGGUUAGUUACCCAAGCUAUAGGAGAAAGAGUUCUUGGACCUCCAGGAAAGUGAAAUUGUUAUUCCAGAGCAGAUAGGAAAAGGAUACCUGCAUUUAUGAAAAAUUCAGGGCUUUUUUUCAGCUGGAACUCACCACAACUCAGUUCCAGAACCUUUCAGGUGAAUGUCACUGCCAUUCCAAGAGAACGAGGGAGUUGUUCAUGGUGAGUUCCGGCACCUCUUUUUCUACAAAAAUAGUGCUGCCAAAAUGUAUAUUAAUGCUACACUUUGAAUGUCAGCUUGCCACACUGUCUAUCAAAGCACAGGAUGUUAGAUAAUAUUCUGCUUUUCCUUACCAUAAUGUUUAGCAGUUUAAACCAACUAGUGUUUAAUAGGGAUGCACUGUUAAACAUAACUGAAUGUUAAAACGCUGUUGUUAAUUUAUGACUCCUUAUUUUCCUCUGUAGGGAGAAAGCCUAAGAAAAGAGAAAAAUCACUCGAGG